UAGAAGUCGUGCUUAUUGAUGAUGCCUUUGUUGAAAGGAAGUGGAUGGAGUGUUUAUUUCAGCCGAACGCAUAUUUAGGUGACGAGGUUAUAGACUGUUACAUAAAUUUGAUAAAAGCUCAAAAGCAUCUAAAGUGCCGAUCUGGAGGUCGCGUUCACAUAGAAAAUGCUUUCCAGUUCAAUUUCCUGAAGCGAGAUGGUGAUGUUGAAAUUAAAACAGAAGAGCUAUAUCCAAAUAAAGACAUGACACAAAUAUGUAGCGCUGAACGAAGGGUGUUACUUUACUUAGACCAUGACAUGGUGUUUAUUCCGAUAAACAUCCGAGAGACGCACUGGUAUCUUGUCG